rnacentral:lncRNA from 1 species
GAAAGCCCUUCUCCUUCAGUGGUCAGCUAACUACUCCUCCAUGAAGCCAUCCCUGAUUCCUACUCCAGCCCCCAAGGAAGAGCUGCAGGAAACAGAAAAUGCACUGCCUAGAUGGACCCUCUGACUCCCCACCACCCAGGCUGGAGCGGCAGAGGCUGCCAGGAAGAGCCAGAAAACAGGUGAACCCAAGGCCACUCCCUCCCCAGCCUGAGGAACACUCUACUGGUAAGGGGAGAAAUGCCUCAAAUGAGCAUGUGCACAACUUCAGUAAACAUGCUGUGCAUGUGGCCCCUCCCAAGUGCCCGCAGGCCACCACACAAGUGGACAGCCCUGGACAGCCCGCCCCUAGGGAAGAAUCAAGGGAGGAGAAACAGAAGCCCUGGAACUGUGCUAGCAUAUAAAACCCCAAGUCAAGGGCUGAAUGGCACACUUGGAUCUCUCAAGUCACCUGCUUGGCCCCCUUCCAAGUGUAUUUACUUCCAUUUGUUCCUGCUCUAAAACUUUUUAAUAAACUUUCACUCCUGCUCUAAAACUUGCCUCGGUCUCUCCCUCUGCCUUAAAACUACUUCUGCCCCCGCAGCCGAAUUCUU